rnacentral:rRNA from 1 species
AGAGUGGCGGGUGCUUACCAUGCGAGUCGCACGGAUGGGGGCAACCCCAUUAGUGGCGGACGGGUGAGUAACGCGUAGGUAUCUAUCCUUGGGUGGGGGAUAACUGUGGGAAACUACAGCUAAUACCGCAUGAUCCCUGAGGGGCAAAGGCGCAAGUCGCCUGAGGAGGAGCCUGCGUCCGAUUAGCUAGUUGGUGGGGUAAAGGCCUACCAAGGCUGCGAUCGGUAGCUGGUCUGAGAGGAUGAUCAGCCACACUGGGACUGAGACACGGCCCAGACUCCUACGGGAGGCAGCAGUGGGGAAUAUUGGACAAUGGGCGCAAGCCUGAUCCAGCAAUGCCGCGUGGGUGAAGAAGGUCUUCGGAUUGUAAAGCCCUUUCGGCGGGGACGAUGAUGACGGUACCCGCAGAAGAAGCCCCGGCUAACUUCGUGCCAGCAGCCGCGGUAAU